rnacentral:rRNA from 1 species
GACGAACGCUGGCGGCGUGCUUAACACAUGCAAGUCGAACGGAAAGGCCUCUUUCGGGGGGUACUCGAGUGGCGAACGGGUGAGUAACACGUGAGUAACCUGCCCUUGACUUUGGGAUAACUUCAGGAAACGGGGGCUAAUACCGGAUAGGAGCUCCUGCUGCAUGGUGGGGGUUGGAAAGUUUCGGCGGUUGGGGAUGGACUCGCGGCUUAUCCGCUUGGUGGUGGGGUAGUGGCUUACCAAGGCUUUGACGGGUAGCCGGCCUGAGAGGGUGAGCGGCGACAUUGGGACUGAGAGACGGCACAGACUCCUACGGGAGGCAGCAGUGGGGAAUAUUGCACAAUGGGUGGAAGCCGGAUGCAGAAACGCCGUGGGCGGGAUGACGGCCUUCGGGUUGUAAACCGCUUUCGCUCAUGACGAAGCUUUGUGUGACGGUAGUGGGUAAAGAAGCACCGGCUAACUACGUG